rnacentral:rRNA from 1 species
UAGCUGGCCUGCAAGGUCCGUUAGGAAAUCCACUCGCCUAACGAGUGGGCGUCCGGCGGAAACUACAGGGCUUGGGACCGGAAGACUUGAGGGGUACGUCUGGGGUAGGAGUGAAAUCCUGUAAUCCUGGACGGACCGCCGAUAGCGAAAGCACCUCAAGACGACGGAUCCGACAGUGAGGGACGAAAGCUAGGGUCUCGAAC